rnacentral:tRNA from 1 species
AGGGAAAUAGUUCCAAUGGUAGAGCAGUGGUCUCCAAAGCCGAAAGUAGGGGUUCGACUCCCCUUUUCCCUG